rnacentral:rRNA from 1 species
GACAGAGGUGCCGAGCGUUAGGCGGAAUCACUGGGCUUAAAGCGCGUGUAGGCGGGUCGUUAAGUGCCUCGUGAAAUCCCACGGCUCAACCGUGGAACCGCGGGGCAUACUGGCGAUCUUGAGAGACCCAGGGGCGAGCGGAACAAGUGGUGGAGCGGUGAAAUGCGUAGAUAUCACUUGGAACGCCGACGGUGAAAACAGCUCGCUGGGGGUCAUCUGACGCUGAGACGCGAAAGCCAGGGGAGCGAACGGGAUUAGAUACCCCGGUAGUCCUGGCCCUAAACGAUGUCCACUAGGUCAUGGCGCCUCUGACGGCGUCAUGGCCGAAGCAAAAGUGAUAAGUGGACCGCCUGGGAAGUACGGUCGCAAGGCUAAA